rnacentral:rRNA from 1 species
UACAGAGGGUGCAAGCGUUGUUCGGAAUUACUGGGCGUAAAGGGCUCGUAGGUGGCCAACUAAGUCAGACGUGAAAUCCCUCGGCUUAACCGGGGAACUGCGUCUGAUACUGGAUGGCUUGAGUUUGGGAGAGGGACGCGGAAUUCCAGGUGUAGUGGUGAAAUGCGUAGAUAUCGGGAGGAACACCAGUGGCGAAGGCGGCUUUCUGGCCUGUUCUUGACGCUGAGGCGCGAAAGCUAGGGGAGCAAACGGG